ensembl:snRNA U11 spliceosomal RNA
UAAAAGAGCUUCUGUCGUGAGUGGCACACGUAGGGCAGCUUGAUUGCUCUGUGUGCAGAAUCGACAUCAAGAGAUUUCCGAAGCAUGAUUUUUUGUGUCUGAGCAGCUGGUGAUCAUUGGCCCUGAUGCCCAC